UACGGGGGGGGCAAGCGUUGUUCGGAAUUACUGGGCGUAAAGGGCUCGUAGGUGGCCAACUAAGUCAGACGUGAAAUCCCUCGGCUUAACCGGGGAACUGCGUCUGAUACUGGAUGGCUUGAGUUUAGGAGAGGGACGCGGAAUUCCAGGUGUAGCGGUGAAAUGCGUAGAUAUCUGGAGGAACACCGGUGGCGAAGGCGGCGUCCUGGACCAACACUGACACUGAGGAGCGAAAGCCAGGGGAGCAAACGGG
rnacentral:rRNA from 1 species